UGGGGAAUUUUCCGACAAAUGGGCGAAAGCCUGACGGAGCAAUACCGCGUGAGGGAGGUAAGGCUCUUGGGUCGUAAACCUCUUUUCUCAGGGAAGAAAACAAUGACGGUACCUGAGGAAUAAGCAUCGGCUAACUCCGUGCCAGCAGCCGCGGUAAUACGGAGGAUGCAAGCGUUAAUCCGGAAUGAUUGGGCGUAAAGCGUCCGCAGGUGGACUAUGUAAGUCUGCUGUUAAAGAGUGAGGCUCAACCUCAUAAGAGCAGUGGAAACUACAUGGCUAGAGUGCGUUCGGGGCAGAGGGAAUUCCUGGUGUAGCGGUGAAAUGCGUAGAGAUCAGGAAGAACACCGGUGGCGAAGGCGACUCUGCUAGGCCGCAACUGACACUGAGGGACGAAAGCUAGGGGAGCGAAUGGGAUUAGGAUACCCCAGUAGUCCUAGCCGUAAACGAUGGAUACUAGGCGUGGCUUGUAUCGACCCGAGCCGUGCCGUAGCUAACGUACG
rnacentral:rRNA from 1 species